CUAGGUGUUGGUCAGGCCCUGGACUAUUUGCACUCGACGUUCUCCCCUCCUGUCGCCCAUGGCAAAUUAAAGGCUACCAAUGUUCUACUGGACGAAAACCUCAUGCCUUGUGUAACUGACUGUGGCUUGGCUAUUCUGAGACCACUGACAAGCAAUAAAGCCAAAAACCGGGCUUCCGAGAUUGAUAUUAGAGAUACAGGAUACAGUUCACCUGACCAUGGCCAACCAGGAGUUGGCAGCACGAAGAGCGACAUCUUUGCCUUUGGCGUGUUGCUUCUUGAACUAUUAACAGGAAGAAAACCUUUCGAUGGGUAUACGCUUCUCUAUA
rnacentral:sRNA from 1 species